AGUGACGUGGUGUUUAAUUCCUGGGAUCAGCUGGUGACGGCAUAUCUCUCCAUUGUGAAAGACACCUCUUUGCAAAUAGAAAGUACUGGAGGACCAGAAGGAGACAGGAAACCAAACCAAAGGGCCACGUGGGAUCCGAGAAACAGGCAGUUGACAUGGAGAAGGAACCUCCCAGGAUGGUGAGGGCAGGUUAGAAGCUGCUAGGACAAACACGAGAUCUUCGGAGCGGGCCAGCCCGUCCAUCUGCACCAGGAGCUCUGUCUUCAUCCGAAGGCUUCCUUCGUGCUCUCCCCUGGACAGAGACGAGCAGAGCCGAGACGAUGCCGUGGGACCUGUGCUUUGCCUGUGCAGCAGCUGGAGGCAGAUUCCCCCUCCGAGCUCCCAGUUGCAGCUGCCAGAGACCCUCCGGCCAAGACAGAGCCCACUACAGGAUCUGAACACGUACGGGGGCUCUAAAUACCGGCCAUGGCCAGCAGGCCCUCCUUCCUAUUCACUCCCACAGAUGGACGUGAAAGGACAAACAAGUGGCUGACUUGGACAACGUGACGUUCAGCUGCUCGUCUCUGCAUGCACGUGGUGGCAACCCCUGUCAGGUGUGUGGUUUUUAAGGAACUAUGCCCCUUGCUAUCUAACCACCUUCCACCGAGAGAGGAGUCUCACAGUACAGUUACAUAUUUACUCAGCAUUUGCUCCUAAUUAUUGUUCUUUUAACAUGAUAGGACCCAAGAUGUCUUCCAAGCACCCGCCCUAAUUCCCUGACGUUGAAGAUUCUAGUUUUCUAGUUUAAGUUCCAGACAGGGAAAUUCAGUUCCAGGACAUUCAGUGCAAAACUGGAGCACAGUGAAGGGAGAGGUUCCAGAUUAGCUCCGUCCCAGCUGUGGGAACCCGGGAUGGAGACUAACAGAGCGAAUGUAAGAGUGAGUACCCAGGUCACAGGGCUAGGCAGACCAGGCGGCCAGGGGCUCUGCGGAGGGAAUGA